rnacentral:rRNA from 1 species
UACGGGGGGGGUAAGCGUUGUUCGGAAUUACUGGGCGUAAAGGGCUCGUAGGCGGCCAACUAAGUCGGACGUGAAAUCCCUCAGCUUAACUGGGGAACUGCGUCCGAUACUGGAUGGCUUGGAUUUGGGAGAGGGAUGCGGAAUUCCAGGUGUAGCGGUGAGAUGCGUAGAUAUCUGGAGGAACACCGGUGGCGAAGGCGGCAUCCUGGACCAAUAUUGACGCUGAGGAGCGAAAGCCAGGGGAGCAAACGGG